UUGGAGGGCAAGUCUGGUGCCAGCAGCCGCGGUAAUUCCAGCUCCAAUAGCGUAUAUUAAAGUUGUUGCAGUUAAAAAGCUCGUAGUUGAAUUUCGAGAUCAGUACGCUGGUCGUGCCUUCGGUAUGCACUGGUGUCACUGGUUUCUCCCUUCUGAAGAACCGUCAUGUCAUUAAGUUGGUGUGGCGGGGAAUCAGGACUGUUACUUUGAAAAAAUUAGAGUGUUUAAAGCAGGCUCGCGCUUGAAUACAUUAGCAUGGAAUAAUGAAAUAGGACGUUUGACCCUAUUUCGUUGGUUUCUAGGAUCGACGUAAUGAUUAAUAGGGAUAGUUGGGGGCAUUAGUAUUCAAUUGUCAGAGGUGAAAUUCUUGGAUUUAUUGAAGACUAACUACUGCGAAAGCAUUUGCCAAGGAUGUUUUCAUUAAUCAAGAACGAAAGUUAGGGGAUCGAAGACGAUCAGAUACCGUCGUAGUCUUAACCAUAAACUAUGCCGACUAGGGAUCGGACGAAGUUAAUUUUAUAAUGACGCGUUCGGCGCCUUACGGGAAAC
rnacentral:rRNA from 1 species